rnacentral:rRNA from 1 species
UACAGAGGAGCCAAGCGUUGUCCGGAUUGACUGGGCGUAAAGCGCACGCAGGCGGACGCGCGCGUGGGGUGUGAAAUCUGGCCGCUUAACGGCCAGGCGCCAUCCCAUACGGCGCGACUGGAGUGAUGCAGAGGUCGAUGGAAUUGCCGGUGUAGUGGUGAAAUGCGUAGAUAUCGUAAGGAAGACCAGUGGCGAAGGCGGGUCUCUGGACAGUUCCUGACGCUGAGGCACGAAGGUCAGGGGAGCAAACGGG